UGAAUACGAGAUGCUACGGCGUCGAAGCAGUCUAUGUCAUACUUCCAAGAAAAGCUUGCACUGUCAUAAACAAAUAAUGCCUGUACCAUAACCGACACAGGUGGGUAGGUAGAGUAUACUAAGGGGCGCGAGAUAACUCUCUCUAAGGAACUCGGCAAAAUGACUCCGUAACUUCGGGAGAAGGAGUGCCUUAUUUAUAAGGUUGCAAUAACAAGAUCCAAGCAACUGUUUACCAAAAACACAGGUCUCCGCUAAGUCGUAAGACGAUGUAUGGGGGCUGACGCCUGCCCAGUGCCAGAAGGUUAAAGAAGUUGGUUAGCAUCCGCGAAGCUGAUAACUGAAGCCCUGGUGAACGGCGGCCGUAACAAUAACGGUCCUAAGGUAGCGAAAUUCCUUGUCGGGUAAGUUCCGACCCGCACGAAAGGCGUAAUGAUUUGGAUACUGUCUCGGAGAGGGGCUCGGUGAAAUAGACUUGUCUGUGAAGAUGCGGACUACCUGCACCAGGACAGAAAGGCCCUAUGAAGCUUUACUGUAACCUGAAAUUGAAAUUGGACUUUACUUGCGCAGUAUAGGUGGGAGGCGUUGAGAAUAUUCUUGCGGGAUUAUUGGAGCCAUCAGUGAGAUACCACUCUUGUAAUGUUAGAUUUCUAACUUUGUAUCAUUAUCUGGUCAAAGAACAGUUUCAGGCGGGCAGUUUGACUGGGGCGGUCGCCUCCUAAACGGUAACGGAGGCGCACAAAGGUUUCCUCUGAACGGGUAGAAAUCGUAUCUAGAGUGUAAAGGCAUAAGGAAGCUUGACUGUGAGACCUACAAGUCGAGCAGGGACGAAAGUCGGUCUUAGUGAUCUGACGGUGCUGAGUGGAAAGGCCGUCACUCAACGGAUAAAAGUUACUCUAGGAUAACAGGCUGAUCUCCCCCAAGAGUUCACAUCGACGGGGAGGUUUGGCACCUCGAUGUCGGCUCAUCGCAUCCUGGGGCGGUAGUACGUCCCAAGGGUUGGGCUGUUCGCCCAUGAAAGCGGUACGCGAGCUGGGUUCAGAACGUCGUGAGACAGUUCGGUCCAUAUCCGGUGUAGGCGUUAGAAUAUUGAGAGGAGCCUUCUUUAGUACGAGAGGACCGAGAAGGACAUACCUCUGGUGUACCAGUUAUCGUGCCAACGGUAAACGCUGGGUAGCUAUGUGUGGAGUGGAUAACCGCUGAAAGCAUCUAAGUGGGAAGCCCACCUCAAGAUAAGUAUUCUCAU
rnacentral:rRNA from 1 species